UAGAGAGGUAGAGAGGUAGAGAGGUAGAGAGGUAGAGAGGUAGAGAGGUAGAGAGGUAGAGAGGUAGAGAGGUAGAGAGGUAGAGAGGUAGAGAGGUAGAGAGGUAGAGAGAGAGAGGUAGAGAGGUAGAGAGAGAGAGGUAGAGAGGUAGAGAGGUAGAGAGGUAGAGAGAGAGAGGUAGAGAGGUAGAGAGGUAGAGAGAGAGAGGUAGAGAGGUAGAGAGAGAGAGGUAGAGAGGUAGAGAGG